rnacentral:lncRNA from 1 species
UGGUUGCUGUCGCUGCUCGGUCACCCACAGAUGAAAGUGACCAAGAAAUGGACAUCACUCAGGUGUGGGAUCACUCGUGGAAGUUCACGGCGGAUACGGAGCCGUGCAUGCAGCUCUGGUUCGAUCCUGCUCAGGGAAGCCCCAAUGACGCCGUGGCGCGCAUCUGGGCUGAGCGGGUGGUGGCGGCCGGUGCGCGGGCGCUGCCGCGUGGCUGGUGGCCGCGGCCCUGGCGGCAGCGGCCCGCUCCUGACCCGGUCGCCCUGUGCCGAGCACAGAGCGCCGACUGAGGUCAGUCUUGUGAUCGAGCUUCCGCGCCGGAGGUGGAACAGGUGGAGCUGGCGGUCACCUGCGCGGGCUCGGCGGCCUGUAAGCCGUGCCGAGACGAACCGCGACACUCUUGCUAGAUCUGCACCCCAUUGUAAUCUUCUGUAGUCGAUAUUCGGUAGGUACUCAAUGCUCAUUUUUCUGAUAUUAGACGAGUGGCGGGUUUUGAUGUUACAUUGGAGACUGCUGUCUCGGGUGGCCCGACAGUGUUCGAUUGUGGUGUAAUGUAGAUACAUAGACGGGAUGCCGCGGCUCGGAUUCGUAGCUGGACUACCAUGUGCCUGUCGAUUGAGAUGCUUUGCCUGGCGAUUGAGAUGAUUCGGGGCGCGGCCCCACACUGACGCCAUGGUGCAAUGAGUGACUGGCGACAACUAAGCAAUUAUGUACUUUUGUAGAACACAUGUUUUCAUGGAUACGAGAGGCAGUCCUUUUUUCGCUAGCAGUCAUUUGGUUCACGAUACUUUCGAUACCGACAAAUAUGUUCGGGCGGCCGGUCCGUCCACAGCUAAUGCGUGCUUGCCCGCCGAUGCCUAACGGAGCGCUGUGCUGUCUACGCUCACUGGUCGCUGGCCCGAGAGCCGUUCGGUUGCUGCUGUUAAAACAGUUCUCACAAAAACACGCUGGCUGGCUGCCAGUUCUUCACCAAUGAGAGGCCCAGUAGCAUCAGCAGGUAGCAUUGUUUAAUAUUACUAUUCCAUUUUGUUUACCCAUAUGUCCGACCUAGAGCCGACUGGUAAAAAGCGGCAACCGAGCAGCCCUCCGCAGCGCUGCAGAUCAUGUACGCUCGAUUAUACACAAUAUAUGUGUCUUUCUUGCACACAGAGACAUGACGUUUUGUAGAGCUUUUAUAUCGCUUGCGGCUGAAAGGAAUAUUGUACAUUUUAGAGCUUUCAUAUACGCGAGAAAAUAUGGUGCAAAAAAACAUUUAUGAAGCC